GACGAACGCUGGCGGCGUGCCUAAUACAUGCAAGUCGAGCGCAGGAAACUGACGGAACUCUUCGGAGGGAAGGCAGUGGAAUGAGCGGCGGACGGGUGAGUAACACGUAAGGAACCUGCCUCAAGGAUUGGGAUAACUCCGAGAAAUCGGAGCUAAUACCGGAUAGUUCAACGGACCGCAUGGUCCGCUGAUGAAAGGCGCUCCGGCGUCACCUUGAGAUGGCCUUGCGGUGCAUUAGCUAGUUGGUGGGGUAACGGCCCACCAAGGCGACGAUGCAUAGCCGAACUGAGGGGGGGAUCGGCCACACUGGGACUGAGACACGGCCCAGACUCCUACGGGAGGCAGCAGUAGGGAAUCUUCCACAAUGGACGAAAGUCUGAUGGAGCAACGCCGCGUGAGUGAUGAAGGUUUUCGGAUCGUAAAACUCUGUUGUAAGGGAAGAACACGUACGAGAGGAAAUGCUUGUACCUUGACGGUACCUUACGAGAAAGCCACGGCUAACUACGUGCCAGCCGCCGCCGUAAAAC
rnacentral:rRNA from 1 species